rnacentral:rRNA from 1 species
CUUGCCUGCACCUGCCGGCGACCGGCGCACGGGUGAGUAACACGUAUGGAACCUGCCCGCCACAGGGGGAUAACCCGGGGAAACCCGGCCUAAUACCCCAUGCCGCCCGGACCGGGCAUCCGGUCCGGGCGAAAAGGAGGAAUCCGGUGGCGGCUGGGCAUGCGGCGCAUUAGCUUGACGGCGGGGUAACGGCCCACCGUGGCGACGAUGCGUAGGGGUUCUGAGAGGAAGGCCCCCCACACUGGAACUGAGACACGGUCCAGACUCCUACGGGAGGCAGCAG